rnacentral:lncRNA from 1 species
UGGUGUUAGCUGGUCUUGCUGACUCUGAUAAUGGCUUGUCCCUUGUGCAAGUCUCUGUGUCAGUACUUCUUGCAGACCAGUUCUCUCCUGGAGGAAUUGGGGUAUGGAGAGCUGUGGCAUAGGGUCGGCUCAGGGAUGUACUCAGAAACAGGAAGGACCCUACCCCCCACUGUUCCUUGGUUCCCGUGUCCUGAUGGCUCUGGGCAGGUCCCUCUUGAAGCAGGAAUUUGAGCAGAAGUGGUGGUCUUACCUGUGUUCACAGGUGUUUCAGGACUCCUGGAAGACCAGCUCUCUCCAGAUGGUAUUUGGAACA